GGGGAUAUGGCGAAAUCGGUAGACGCUACGGACUUAAAAAUCGUGAGGGUUCAAGUCCCUCUAUCCCCA